rnacentral:guide_RNA from 1 species
GAAAUAUAAAACAAACAGAGCGAGACGUAAAUGAUAACUGUGUAGAAAUA